GCCGGGCAUGGUGGCGCAUGCCUGUAAUCCCAGCUACUUGGGAGGCUGAGGCAGGAGAAUCGCUUGAACCCAGGAGGCAGAGGUUGCAGUGAGCUGAGAUCAUGCCAUUGCACUCCAACCUGGGUGACAGAGUGAGACUCCAUCUCAA
ensembl:misc_RNA Metazoa_SRP Metazoan signal recognition particle RNA